ensembl:lncRNA
GGGAAGCCAGAUUCAACCUCCAGCACCAGCCAGACGACCUUUUCACCCACUAUGACCCGCUCGCAGGCUCAACAAAGGCGGGCCUUGCUAAGAGGAAAACAGGAGGCAUUGUCUGAUCCUGAAGCAUCUUUUCCAAUGGUAGAAGUGGCGGGUGCACAAGGGACGAUGUUGGUGUUCAGACCCUGGUCCGACACCGACGUGGCCGAAGCAAUGAGCCACGUUUGCAAUCCUAAGGAUAAUCUUGCUAAGUGGGAGACUGAUCUGAAGCAAUUUGUCAGAGAAUACCGUCCUAGCAUGUCAGAGCUGCGGCGUCUGAUGUGCAGACUUCUGAAACAUGACUAUCACAGAGUUCAAGAUGUGUUCACCACCACAAGAAUGGCUGCUCGCCUUAAAGAUCCUGAUUAUGAGAAUGACACAAACGCGGCCUUUAGAAACGCUGUUGAUGCUCUCGUUGUGUUGGUAAAAGAACAAGUUCCUCUGAGACUGAACCUUUCCACCAUCACUUCUAUGAUACAAGGGCCACAAGAAACAUGCAGCUCCUUCCUGGCACGCCUGACGACAGCUUUUGACAUCCACAGUGGCCUUAAGCGACCUGAUCCAAUGGGGGCACAGCCCCUAAUGCCAUAUGAAGUCCAUCUGAAAGAACAUUUUAUAAGCAGAAUGAGACCUGAGCUUAUACGGAUGGUGAAAAGAUCAUGUGUAACCUGGAAAACGUGUGCUCUUGCAGACAUCCUUCAGCACGCUGAACACACUGAAGAUGAGUUACACAAGAAAGAGGACAAACUAAAAGGUUUUGAAAAGGCUCAGUAUGCGAUGUUUACGUGCUUGCAGUGCCAACAAUUUGCCCAAGGCCAACGUGGAAGAGGAAGAGGUUAUGGAAGAGCUCGUGGCAGAUCAGAUCGGACUUACGGGAGUUAUGAUCCAAACGUGUGUUACAAUUGUGGACAACAAGGACAUUGGCGAGCAGAGUGUCCUGAGCACAUGAGGAAGAGACACAUCACACGUCUGACUGAGGGAGGCAGAGGGAGGGGCGGACCCCAGAGCCGGAGCACCCCAUCACGAUGAGAAAAUGAUGGAGAGCCUCAUGAUUGUGUCGAAGUCUUGCAGCAGACUUGCAUACCAAGGCCUGAUCUGUUGGACACACCUCUUCCCAAUGCAGAUCUUGAGCUGUUUGUGGACGGCUCCGCUUCUCGCUCACCCGAAACAGGCAGCGGCCAGGAAACAAAGGAGCGGAUGCGGCAGCAAAGAAGGCAGCCUCACAGGGCUUCCUUUUCCCCUUCACUCAAAUGCUUUCCACACCGACCG